rnacentral:rRNA from 1 species
GAUGAACGCUGGCGGCGUGCCUAAUACAUGCAAGUCGAACGAAACUUCUUUAUCACCGAGUGCUUGCACUCACCGAUAAAGAGUUGAGUGGCGAACGGGUGAGUAACACGUGGGCAACCUGCCCCAAAGAGGGGGAUAACACUUGGAAACAGGUGCUAAUACCGCAUAACCAUAGUUACCGCAUGGUAACUAUGUAAAAGGUGGCUAUACUACCGCUUUUGGAUGGGCCCGCGGCGCAUUAGCUAGUUGGUAGGGUAAAGGCUUACCAAGGCAAUGAUGCGUAGCCGAAUUGAGAGGUUGAUCGGCCACAUUGGGACUGAGACACGGCCCAAACUCCUACGGGAGGCAGCAGUAGGGAAUCUUCCACAAAGGGCGAAAGCCUGAUGGAGCAACGCCGCGUGGGUGAAGAAGGUCUUCGGAUCGUAAAACCCUGUUGUUAGAGAAGAAAGUGCGUGAGAGUAACUGUUCACGUUUCGACGGUAUCUAACCAGAAAGCCACGGCUAACUACGUG